rnacentral:rRNA from 1 species
UCCUACGGGAGGCAGCAGUGAGGAAUAUUGGUCAAUGGGCGAGAGCCUGAACCAGCCAAGUAGCGUGCAGGAUGACGGCCCUAUGGGUUGUAAACUGCUUUUGCAUGGGAAUAAAGUGAGGGACGUGUCCCUUUUUGUAUGUACCAUGAGAAUAAGGACCGGCUAAUUCCGUGCCAGCAGCCGCGGUAAUACGGAAGGUCCGGGCGUUAUCCGGAUUUAUUGGGUUUAAAGGGAGCGCAGGCCGCCUUUUAAGCGUGACGUGAAAUGUACGGGCUCAACCGGUGCAGUGCGUCGCGAACUGGAGGGCUUGAGUGCGGACGAGGCAUCCGGAAUUCGUGGUGUAGCGGUGAAAUGCUUAGAUAUCACGAAGAACUCCGAUUGCGAAGGCAGGGUGCCAGGCCGUUACUGACGCUAAAGCUCGAAAGUGCGGGUAUCGAACAGGAUUAGAUACCCUGGUAGUCC